rnacentral:rRNA from 1 species
GGUGAUAUGAACCGUUAUAACCGGCGAUUUCCGAAUGGGGAAACCCAGUGUGAUUCGUCACACUAUCAUUAACUGAAUCCAUAGGUUAAUGAGGCGAACCGGGGGAACUGAAACAUCUAAGUACCCCGAGGAAAAGAAAUCAACCGAGAUUCCCCCAGUAGCGGCGAGCGAACGGGGAGGAGCCCAGAGCCUGAAUCAGCAUGUGUGUUAGUGGAAGCGUCUGGAAAGGCGCGCGAUACAGGGUGACAGCCCCGUACACAAAAGCGCAUGUGCUGUGAGCUCGAUGAGUAGGGCGGGACACGUGGUAUCCUGUCUGAAUAUGGGGGGACCAUCCUCCAAGGCUAAAUACUCCUGACUGACCGAUAGUGAACCAGUACCGUGAGGGAAAGGCGAAAAGAACCCCGGCGAGGGGAGUGAAAAAGAACCUGAAACCGUGUACGUACAAGCAGUGGGAGCACAGGUUUACCUGUGUGACUGCGUACCUUUUGUAUAAUGGGUCAGCGACUUAUAUUCUGUAGCAAGGUUAACCGAAUAGGGGAGCCGGAGGGAAACCGAGUCUUAAUUGGGCGUUAAGUUGCAGGGUAUAGACCCGAAACCCGGUGAUCUAGCCAUGGGCAGGUUGAAGGUUGGGUAACACUAACUGGAGGACCGAACCGACUAAUGUUGAAAAAUUAGCGGAUGACCUGUGGCUGGGGGUGAAAGGCCAAUCAAACCGGGAGAUAGCUGGUUCUCCCCGAAAGCUAUUUAGGUAGCGCCUCGUGAAUUCAUCUCCGGGGGUAGAGCACUGUUUCGGCUAGGGGGCCAUCCCGGCUUACCAACCCGAUGCAAACUGCGAAUACCGGAGAAUGUUAUCACGGGAGACACACGGCGGGUGCUAACGUCCGUCGUGAAGAGGGAAACAACCCAGACCGCCAGCUAAGGUCCCAAAGUCAUGGUUAAGUGGGAAACGAUGUGGGAAGGCCCAGACAGCCAGGAUGUUGGCUUAGAAGCAGCCAUCAUUUAAAGAAAGCGUAAUAGCUCACUGGUCGAGUCGGCCUGCGCGGAAGAUGUAACGGGGCUAAACCAU